rnacentral:rRNA from 1 species
UAGGGAAUCUUCCACAAUGGACGAAAGUCUGAUGGAGCAACGCCGCGUGGGUGAAGAAGGGUUUCGGCUCGUAAAACUCUGUUGUUAAAGAAGAACAUAUCUGAGAGUAACUGUUCAGGUAUUGACGGUAUUUAACCAGAAAGCCACGGCUAACUACGUGCCUG